GGUGGUGACACAGCGGGUAGUAAAAGCAUUCCCCAUUCCUGUCACAGUUCUACAGCUGCAGUUUUCCAGGCCUGAUUGCCCAUUGUGUUGAUGUCCCAGUUUACUAAACCACUUCCCUAGUCUGGUUCCCAGUUUUUGACCUUUAAAGAAAAGACCUCAGUGCACGCAUUUAUGCAGAUAACACUGGGCUUCCGCUGGAAUUAUUUCCUUGGAAUAAAGUCCCAGGAAUGAGAUUAUUGGGUCAAAGGAAGAGAAAUAGCUUUAUGGGUGUUGCUGUGAGAUGCUUUAUUGCUUUCAAAGGAACUAUGCCAACCAACGUCAACAGUUUAGAGCAUGUGAAGGGAUAGCUUCAGGGCAACAAGCAAUUCACUCUUGGGAAAUCGGUUCCCAGGCCCUUCCAAAACCACCUGAAAGGCCUCACAGACGAGGCAAAUGGGGUGCAGUGUGGAGUCCUGGGCUGAGAAAUAGGAGGUCUGGGGGCGCCUGGGUGGCUCGGUCAGUUAAGCGUCUGACUCGGCUCAUGUCAUGAUCUUGUGAUUUGUGACUUUGAGGCCUGCGUCAGGCUCUGUGCUGACAGCUCGGAGCCUGCUUCAGAUCCUCUGCGCCCCCCACCCCCCAAUAAAUAAACACGUAACAAAAACUCUUAAGAAAUAGGAAGUCUGAAGGUCUAAUGCCGAGGCUACAGAGUAGUUAACAGUGUCAACUGUGGACAACGGGUCCUCAGUUAAAAUUCUGACUUUGCCCCUUAAUCUUUCUGAGACAUGUGUUUUGUCACCUAUAAAACAGGGAUUAUAGCAAUACUGAGCCUUGCAGAGGUGAGGUGAGGAUGAAAUGGGUUAUUACCUGCUGGGCGAUUAGAUCAGCACAUGGGACAUCACAUGGUAAACACUGAGUAAACAGAACAAUUGUUAUUACCAUUUCCAUUAUCUAGUGACUGAGGCUCUAUCCUCGUCUCUUGGCCUCGUUUCUCCAGCGGCUGGUCAUCUCUUCCUCCCGACUUCCACACGAGACCCCACCCAGGCCCUUCAGUUUUCCCUGCGGGUCGGGUCUCCUUGUCUCUGAAGCGAGAGUAGUCACUGGCUUUCAGGCGUUGAGUCCCAAUGGUCUCUGGAUGCCCCCUUGUGGCCAGCUGGCUUUCUCUUGCUCUCCUCCACUAAAGGGGAAAACCAGCCCUGCACUUGUGAGGGACCAGAUGUGUGUGUGUGUGUGUGUGUGUGUGUGUGUGGUGGAGGAGGCUUCCAUUUCUGCAGAUAAAACAGGAAAUAGCACAUCAUGGCAUCCUCCUUGCUAGCUAGAAAGGGGAUGAGUCUCUAUAUGCUUAUACCUACGCACGAAUGGGAACUGCUUGUGCUGGCUUGCAUGUGUGUACGUGAGCACUUGUGUGUACACUUGAUAUCACUCUUCUUGCCCCAGGGGUCUCAUGGGAUUCCAUUGAGACUAUCUGGUCUGAGAAACGAAAGCAAUGUGCGGACAUCAUCAGGCCACUAUUAUGUAUAAGAGCACCUAUAACCACUCGGUUUAUCCAUUUGCUCAGGUGGACAUUCAGUUCCACAGGUAUUUACUGAGCGCCUACUACGUGCCAGGUCUUCGGAGGUCUGGGGAGGCAACAGUGACAAAGACAGAAUCUGUUUCUGCCCUCUCCCAAUCUAGUGGGUGAGACAACCGUUGCAGUACAGGGAAGGGGUAGAGGCGCCAAGGAAGACUGCCUGGAGGAGAGGACACCUGAGCUGAGCCGCGAAGCUGUGGGUGCUCUAGGCCCUCCGCAGCUUUGGGGCGGAGGGGUUUAUACAAAGAACACUUGUGGGGGUUUUGAAGUGCCGAUUUUAACCCCAGCUCACCGAGCUAGUCUUUUUCUUGGGGCCUGUUUCCUCCUGAGGUAAGCCAGUGGGCUGGCCAUGAUACCCACGGUUUCUGUCGACCUUGAUGUUCUCUGAUCUUUCAUUCCAUCAGCCUGAGGAAUUCUCUUUCUUUCUACUUUUUGGUCAUACGCCACCCCCUUCCCUGAAGAAAUGAAAACCAGACUGAGUGAGAGAGGAAUGGCAAAACACUGAUACACUCACGUAGGACCCGUGCCUGCACACACGUGCGUGUGCAUGUGCCCCUCCAUUCCCACCUUGGCUCUGCCAGAACCCCCGGGGAGGGUCAGCAGUGAUCUGACAAGAGAGAGGUGGAAUGAAGGUGAGGCUUUCUCCUGGGCGCAGCGUGGAGGUGAGGGCCCAACAGACACGGCUCCUUCUACCUGGCCCGGUCGCUUAGCUUCCUGGAACCUGCUUCCAGGUCAGCCAAGUAAAUACCCACCGGGCAGGGUUUCUGCAGUGAUCAGAGGUGACAUAUGGGCAGUGCCACCCCCCCCCCCCAUCCCCGUUGUAGGACCUAGCAGGCUUUUGGAAAAUAAGAACUAAAAAGCAGUUACAUUUAACAAUAUCUAGGGUGGCUCACACACUUGGCCCUGCAGCGGAGAAAGGGUUGACUAGAACACCACCCUGACCCUCCCAGUGACAAUAACCUCAGGGAGGAUAUCAGACAAGUGCCCAACUCACUAUAGAUGGCUCUGUUCUCUGGUUCCAGUUAGAAUGAAGCUUAUUAACUGGGUAACUUUGGCCAAGUUACUUAAUCUUUCUAAGUGUUAGUUUUCUCAUCUGUAAAAUGGGGACUUAACAGCAACCCCCUCACAGAAGUGCUGGGAGCAUGAACUGAGGUAAUGAAUGUGAAAGCACUUAAUAGAGUUGCAGGCAGAUAGUCGGUGCUCCAUGCAUUGGUAGCUGCUUGUAUUGGUCAGGACAGGCUAACUGGUGUAACAAAUAGGCCCAAGAAUGUAUAAUGGCUGAGAGACGAUUCGAGGUUUGUUUUUUGCUCCUAGGAUGGUCUCGGGAGAUACCAGGUUGGCCGUGGAACUCAUUGGGAGACCAGGUUGCUGCCAAUUCUGCCAUCUUCAACGUGUGGCUUCCAAGAUUUCUUCGGCCAUGGGCAUCCAGGCAGUGGGUGGGGAAGAGAGUGUAGAGAAGGUACAUCAGCCUCUUACCGCCUCGGCCCAGGAGCUCCACAUGUGCUCACAUUCUAUUGGAAGGAAGUGGCUCCAGAUGCCGUGGGUGGGACAUUCUUUGGCUCUGCUCACCGUUCCCAGAUUUCUCCUGAUUCCUGGUGACAGAGUUGGCACCUCUAACCAGUCUUGGAGAGGGGCAGAGCCUUGCUCAAGAACACCCUGCACCCCAGGAAAUCUGAGUCUCGUUUUGAACCACCCUAGCUCUCUAGGUGCAAGACCUGCCUCCAGAGAGAUGCCAUGACAAUUCUGUUCCACCCAGGCCUGCGA